CAGUCGCCGCGGUAAUACGGAGGGGGCUAGCGUUGUUCGGAAUUACUGGGCGUAAAGCGCACGUAGGCGGCUUGGUAAGUUAGAGGUGAAAGCCUGGAGCUCAACUCCAGAAUUGCCUUUAAGACUGCCGAGCUAGCAGGUGAGAGAGGUAAGUGGAAUUCCGAGUGUAGAGGUGGAAUUCGUAGAUAUUAGGAAGAACACCAGUGGCGAAGGCGGCUCACUGGUCCGGUACUGACGCUGAGGUGCGAAAGCGUGGGGAGCAAACAGGAUUAGAUACCCCGGUAGUCCCUGUCUCUUAUAC
rnacentral:rRNA from 1 species